UACGUAGGGCGCAAGUGUUAUCCGGAAUCACUGGGCGUAAAGCGUCUGUAGGUGGUCAAAUAAGUCAACUGUUAAAUCUUGAGGCUCAACCUCAAAAUCGCAGUCGAAACUAUUCGACUAGAGUAUAGUAGGGGUAAAGGGAAUUUCCAGUGGAGCGGUGAAAUGCGUAGAGAUUGGAAAGAACACCGAUGGCGAAGGCACUUUACUGGGCUAUUACUAACACUGAGAGACGAAAGCUAGGGUAGCAAAUGGG
rnacentral:rRNA from 1 species